rnacentral:snRNA from 1 species
CUGGAAUUAAAUAGUAAUGGCAU